rnacentral:rRNA from 1 species
UACGUAUGGUGCAAGCGUUAAUCGGAAUGACUGGGCGUAAAGGGUGUGUAGGCGGUUUGUUAAGUCUGAUGUGAAAUCCCCGGGCUCAACCUGGGAACUGCGUUGGAAACUGGCAAACUAGAGUACGUAAGAGGGGGGUGGAAUUCCACGUGUAGCAGUGAAAUGCGUAGAGAUGUGGAGGAACACCGAUGGCGAAGGCAGCCCCCUGGGACGAUACUGACGCUGAGGCACGAAAGCGUGGGGAGCAAACAGG